rnacentral:rRNA from 1 species
GACGAACGCUUGCGGCGUGCCUAAGAAAUGCAAGUCGAGCGAGGUCUAGGCUUCGGCCGAAAACCUAGCGGCGAACGGUCGCGUAACACGUAAGCAACCUGCCCUGAAGUUUGGGAUAGCCCACCGAAAGGUGGAUUAAUACCGGAUGUGGACAAUAUAUCGCAUGUUCGUAUUGUCUAAAGCAGCAAUGCGCUUCAGGAUGGGCUUGCGGCCUAUCAGCUAGUUGGUGUGGGUAACGGCCUACCAAGGCGACGACGGGUAGCUGGUCUGAGAGGAUGGUCAGCCGGAUUGGGACUGAGACACGGCCCAGACUCCUACGGGGGGCAGCAAUUAGGAAUCUUGCGCAAUGGGCGAAAGCCUGACGCAGCGACGCCGCGUGACUGAUGAAGUCCUUCGGGAUGUAAAAGUCUUUUGUGGGGGAAGAAGGAUGUGACGGUACCCCACGAAUAAGCCCCGGCUAACUACGUGCCAGCAGCCGCGGUAAUACGUAGGGGGCGAGCGUUGUCCGAAUUUACUGGGCGUAAAGCGCGCGUAGGCGGGCUCUUAAGUUGGGGGUGAAAUCCCGAGGCUUAACCUCGGAACUGCCUUCAAAACUGGGGGCCUUGAGCUGUGGAGAGGGAAGUGGAAUUCCUGGUGUAGCGGUGAAAUGCGUAGAUAUCAGGAGGAACACCCGUGGCGAAGGCGGCUUCCUGGCCACACGCUGACGCUGAGGUGCGAAAGCUAGGGUAGCGAACGGGAUUAGAUACCCCGGUAGUCCUAGCCGUAAACGAUGGAUACUAGGUGUUAGAGGUAUCGACCCCUCUAGUGCCGAAGCUAACGCAUUAAGUAUCCCGCCUGGGGAGUACGGCCGCAAGGCUGAAACUCAAAGGAAUUGACGGGGGCCCGCACAAGCGGUGGAGCAUGUGGUUUAAUACGUCACUAACCGUAGAACCUUACCCAGGCUUGACAUCUGGGGAACCCCGGUGAAAGCCGGGGGUGCCGAGUAAUCGGAGCCCCAAGACAGGUGUUGCAUGGCUGUCGUCAGCUCGUGUCGUGAGAUGUUGGGUUAAGUCCCGCAACGAGCGCAACCCUCAUCCGAUGUUGCCAGCGUUAAGUCGGGAACUCUUCGGAAACUGCCCGUGCAAGCGGGAGGAAGGUGGGGACGACGUCAAGUCAGCAUGGCCCUUACGCCUGGGGCUACACACAUGCUACAAUGGGUGUUAAACAAAGGGCAGCAAUACCGCGAGGUGGAGCUAAUCUCAAAAACACACCCUCAGUUCGGAUUGCAGUCUGCAACUCGACUGCAUGAAGUCGGAAUCGCUAGUAACCGCAGGUCAGCUAAACUGCGGUGAAUACGUUCCCGGGCCUUGUACACACCGCCCGUCACGCCACCUGAGUUGUCUGUACCCGAAGUCGAUGGCCCAACCCGCAAGGGAGGGAGUCGCCGAAGGUGUGGGGAGCGAGGGGGACG